rnacentral:rRNA from 1 species
UCCGAAGGUGGCUAGCGUUGUUCGGAAUUACUGGGCGUAAAGCGCACGUAGGCGGACUUGUAAGUUGGGGGUGAAAUCCCGGGGCUCAACCCCGGAAUUGCCUUCAAGACUGCAAGUCUGGAGGUCAGGAGAGGCGAGCGGAAUUCCGAGUGAAGAGGUGAAAUUCGUAGAUAUUCGGAGGAACACAAGUGGCGAAGGCGGCUCGCUGGACUGAUACUGACGCUGAGGUGCGAAAGCGUGGGGAGCAAACAGG